rnacentral:rRNA from 1 species
GACGAACGCUGGCGGCGUGCCUAAUACAUGCAAGUCGAACGGAAAGGCCCUGCUUUUGUGGGGCGCUCGAGUGGCGAACGGGUGAGUAACACGUGAGUAACCUGUCCUUGACUGUGGGAUAACUUCAGGAAACUGGGGCUAAUACCGGAUAGGAGCUCCUGCUCCAUGUUGGGGGUUGGAAAGUUUCGGCGGUUGGGGAUGGACUCGCGGCUUAUCAGCUUGGUGGUGGGGUAGUGGCUUACCAAGGCUUUGACGGGUAGCCGGCCUGAGAGGGUAACCGGCGACAUUGCGACUGAGAUACGGCGCAGACUCCUACGGGAGGCAGCAGUGGGGAGUAUUGCACAAUGGGCGGAAGCCUGAUGCAACGACGCCGCGUGCGGGAUGACGGCCUUCGGGUUGUAAACCGCUUUCGCCUGUGACGAAGCGUGAGUGACGGUAAUGAGUAAAGAAGCACCGGCUAACUACGUG